GAGCAAGUGCAACGAGGUUGUCUUAGCUAUAUGAUAAGAGGUGAUCGGUGUUUAUAGCUGAGGUGACAGCGUAUGAAUUUGGAGGUAACAGAUGACAGCUUUGGUCCAUCACUCGGGUCACAUAUUAGUGACACCCACCUACCCGCACACGAAGAGAGUAUGGCGUCAAACUGCGCUGGCAGCAGAUGGAGUCCCGAGUGACACAUGGUGGCAGAGGAAGGUUACAUCAUUGAGUUGCCGCAGAGCUUCAUCCGGCCGCUGGUGGUGGAGGGAUGCCGCUGUGAUCAAAUUGCUGAACUUGGUGACCCAGACAGUUGCUGUUGUUGUUUGUUCUUCGACACAGACACCUUAUCCAAAAUGUACAAAGAGUUUGUUUUCAAGCGGGACUUGCCGCAACACGAUACAAGUAAAUAUAGUUGUUGUCUGCUACUGUUGCUGUUGCUGACGUCUAUUUUCAUUGAGAGAGGGAAUCGCGGUUUGUGUCGACACUUUUGAUCAUACAUAAGAAUCAUUUAGAUUGUUAAAAUAUUUUAAUAAAAAUCAUCAAAAACAAACUGAAUUUGUAAAUUACGAUGUUAGGACUCACUUCCUUAAGGGUUCAAAGGAUUAACUUAAAUCGAUAAUUUUAUUGGGAAACUUUUUUCAAGUGAUGGUUUUUGUGAGAAGAAUGUGGGACAGGAAUAAAAAGAAUACAAAUGAAAUUGCCUGCAUUCAAGUCAGUAAAAUCAAGGUUGAAAGCAUACCGAACUUUUUUCUCCCAUUUUUCUAUUCUCACUUUUCAUCACCGGAGUCGUGCUUUGCCUUUUUGAUUCCUAUUGAUUCGCCAAGAAUAGCAAGUAUGAAAUUCAGAACUUUAUACAGCCUAAUGAUGAUCAACUGUCAACAUCAG